CCUACGGGUGGCAGCAGUGAGGAAUAGUGGUCAAUGGACGAGAGUCUGAACCAGCCAAGUAGCGUGAAGGAUGACUGCCCUAUGGGUUGUAAACUUCUAUUAUAAAGGAAUAAAACGAGGCACGUGUGCCUUUUUGCAUGGACUUUAUGAAUAAGGAUCGGCUAACACCGGGCCAGCAGCCGCGGUAAUACGGAGGAUCCGAGCGUUAUCCGGAUUUAUUGGGUUUAAAGGGAGCGUAGGUGGAUUGUUAAGUCAGUUGUGAAAGUUUGCGGCUCAACCGUAAAAUUGCAGUUGAUACUGGCAGUCUUGAGUACAGUCGUGGUCGUCGCACUUCGUGUUGUAUCGGU
rnacentral:rRNA from 1 species